UUCCGAGGAGGCCUUGGAGUGACCGAUUUAAUUUUCAUAUUAGUUUUGAGUUCAUCUGGUAAAAGCCUUAAGGUUUCAUUUAAAGAAGCGCCCACACUUGGAGAAUCUUCAAAGCUGGUGUGUGCUCUGCUGCACCACUCCCUUCCAUUGGCUGGGGUUCUCCUGGAACUACAACGGAAAUAGGAUUCAGCCAGACACACCAUACCAGUGACUGAAUUUCUACAAUACCAAUCUUCUCCCAGGAAAAAAGUCUCUUUCCCUGCAGGAACAGAGGGAGGAGGAGAGGGCUGUUUUGCUGCAGAGUUGGAUCUCUCUCGUCCCACAGAAUGAGCAGAGGACUCUGAAGUUGUUCGGG